GAGUUUGAACCUGGCUCAGGAUGAACGCCGGCGGUGUGCCUAAUACAUGCAAGUCGUACGCACUGGCCCAACUGAUUGAUGGUGCUUGCACCUGAUUGACGAUGGAUCACCAGUGAGUGGCGGACGGGUGAGUAACACGUAGGUAACCUGCCCCGGAGCGGGGGAUAACAUUUGGAAACAGAUGCUAAUACCGCAUAACAACAAAAGCCACAUGGCUUUUGUUUGAAAGAUGGCUUUGGCUAUCACUCUGGGAUGGACCUGCGGUGCAUUAGCUAGUUGGUAAGGUAACGGCUUACCAAGGCGAUGAUGCAUAGCCGAGUUGAGAGACUGAUCGGCCACAAUGGAACUGAGACACGGUCCAUACUCCUACGGGAGGCAGCAGUAGGGAAUCUUCCACAAUGGGCGCAAGCCUGAUGGAGCAACACCGCGUGAGUGAAGAAGGGUUUCGGCUCGUAAAGCUCUGUUGUUGGAGAAGAACGUGCGUGAGAGUAACUGUUUACGCAGUGACGGUAUCCAACCAGAAAGUCACGGCUAACUACGUGCCAGCAGCCGCGGUAAUACGUAGGUGGCAAGCGUUAUCCGGAUUUAUUGGGCGUAAAGCGAGCGCAGGCGGUUGCUUAGGUCUGAUGUGAAAGCCUUCGGCUUAACCGAAGAAGUGCAUCGGAAACCGGGCGACUUGAGUGCAGAAGAGGACAGUGGAACUCCAUGUGUAGCGGUGGAAUGCGUAGAUAUAUGGAA
rnacentral:rRNA from 1 species